AUUGAACGCUGGCGGCAGGCUUAACACAUGCAAGUCGAGCGGAGCGAGGGUGCUUGCACCUUAGCUUAGCGGCGGACGGGUGAGUAAUGCUUAGGAAUCUGCCUAUUAGUGGGGGACAACAUUCCGAAAGGAAUGCUAAUACCGCAUACGCCCUACGGGGGAAAGCAGGGGAUCUUCGGACCUUGCGCUAAUAGAUGAGCCUAAGUCGGAUUAGCUAGUUGGUGGGGUAAAGGCCUACCAAGGCGACGAUCUGUAGCGGGUCUGAGAGGAUGAUCCGCCAGACUGGGACUGGGACACGGCCCAGACUCCUACGGGAGGCAGCAGUGGGGAAUAUUGGACAAUGGGCGGAAGCCUGAUCCAGCCAUGCCGCGUGUGUGAAGAAGGCCUUUUGGUUGUAAAGCACUUUAAGCGAGGAGGAGGCUCUUAAGGUUAAUACCCUUGAUGAGUGGACGUUACUCGCAGAAUAAGCACCGGCUAACUCUGUGCCAGCCGCCGCAGUAACAC
rnacentral:rRNA from 1 species